ACUCCUACGGGAGGCAGCAGUGGGGGAAUAUUGCACAAUGGGGGGAAACCCUGAUGCAGCCAUGCCGCGUGUGUGAAGAAGGCCUUCGGGUUGUAAAGCACUUUCAGUAGGGAGGAAGGUAGUGUAGUUAACACCUGCAUUAUUUGACGUUACCUACAGAAGAAGCACCGGCUAACUCCGUGCCAGCAGCCGCGGUAAUACGGAGGGUGCGAGCGUUAAUCGGAAUUACUGGGCGUAAAGCGCAUGCAGGCGGCCUGUUAAGUCAGAUGUGAAAGCCCGGGGCUUAACCUCGGAAUUGCAUUUGAAACUGGCAGGCUAGAGUCUUGUAGAGGGGGGUAGAAUUUCAGGUGUAGCGGUGAAAUGCGUAGAGAUCUGAAGGAAUACCAGUGGCGAAGGCGGCCCCCUGGACAAAGACUGACGCUCAGAUG
rnacentral:rRNA from 1 species